ACGGUCACUCACACUCGCUCUGCCUGCCUGCCCGACACAGACGCUCUACUUACAGCGCUGGAUGCAGGACUGAGGCUCACACUAUCAGCGCAGCUUCUCAAUGGGGGGACGCGGCCAAGAGCAGACAGAGCGGUCCUUCCACCGGAGCCUUCCGCCGAGCGCCUAAGAGAGAGAGAGAGAGAGAGAGAGAGGGGCAUAGAGGGGGGGCGACGACGAGUGAGGAGGGCAAAUUAGGACCCCCUUUUGUCUCAGCAAAGGAGUUUCGAGAGACUCUGGAAGAGAGAAGUGGGGGAUAGAAGAACAGCACCUAUGUGGAGCCGUGACUCGCUCACACCUUGAUCAGCUGUGACACACAACCUCCCUCCCCCCCCCCCACCACCACCUGGGUGGUGUUUUUUUUGGGGGGGACUCUUUGUGGUGGUUUUAAAAAAAAAUCACAGCAGCAAAAGUCCAGGGGGAUUUUUUAUUUUUUUUUUCAAAGGCUAAGCUGCAGGUGGAAUUUCAUGCAAAGACCCCCCCUCUGGUUUCCCCAGAAUGGAUGGAAUUAAGACGGGCAGGCUGUGAUUCUGACUGAGCUCCCCUUUUCCUCUCUGAACGCACUGCUCAGACUCGGCCCCACCAUGUCCUGGUUGCUGGCCAUGUGGAUUAGCCUUGGCUUCCUGCUGCUGUGCCAGGCCACGCUCUAUCAGACCAUCCAGCAGCACCAUGUGGCCCGACCCGGUCGCACUGACAUCCUCACUCUGGAGGGGGGAACCUGUGAGGUGAUCGCAGCUCACAGAUGCUGCAACAAGAACCGCAUUGAGGAGCGCUCGCAGACGGUCAAAUGCUCCUGUUUGCCCGGGAAAGUUGCCGGGACGACACGCAACAAACCCUCCUGUGUGGAUGCGUCCAUUGUAAUUGGGAAGUGGUGGUGUGAGAUGGAACCGUGUCUGGAGGGAGAAGAGUGCAAGACUCUGCCCGACAACUCUGGAUGGAUGUGUUCAUCCGGGAACAAGAUCAAGACCACAAGGAACACCCAGCCAUACUCCCCUUUUUAGCUUCUGGAAGCAAAAUGCAGAGGAUGCGUCAACAGAAAUUGAGCUGCAUUCUUGCUUCUGUAAAGAUUCAUCCCAGGACCUAACAGAGAGCUCCCGGUAGCAGGACUGCACGCCAGGCUCUCCCCCUUUCUGAACUUUUUUUCUCCUCCCGUUGAAUAGACUAAAACUAUUACAUCCACGGCUACCGACUGGCUUACCUGGGACGACGGAGAGGAUAUCCAUCCAGAUAAAACAGCUUUGCUCACUUGGUGCCAAGGAUUUAAAACCGCACUAAUCCCCUGUUUGAUCAAUGAGCCCUGCGUCAGUGACUCUCUCUCCUCUUUGUCACGACUGUGGGCCAGUUUCCAACCUACUCUCAUUCCGUUUCCUCGCCCUGGCUUUACCUGGAAGCCUGAUACAACUUGGCAGGGCUCACUUAGAGGUUGCUGAAAUAUUUGAAGACAAUCUCCUGGCCUGCCUAAAGGUGAACCAGUUGAGGGGUGCGCGCAAAACUGAACAGGAGAGACACACUACUGGAGGCACAGUCGAGUCAAAUGACCCUCAUUUUCUAGUAUCCCUGCAGAAAUCAUUCGUGUUUGACUCGCUGAUGGAGACGGAUGCUAUUUCUAUGAAUGGAGGAAAGGAGAGACUUUAAGCAACAGGACCUACGAGCUGCCUAUAACGAAAUAUUAAAAACGAUCCUGGUCUGACUUUAUGGCUCAAGCUUCAUCCUCUAUAAGGGACACUUUUGACUUUUAUUGCUGGGCAUGCCCAAUGUAGAUUCAUGAGCACUACAUUUAUUUUAUGUAAGAUCAUUUGUGUAAAUAAACACAUAAAUACAUAAAAUACGCUGUAAGAUGACCGAUCCGAGAGGCUGAUAAAAUGUAUCAUUCCAAUAAAAGCACCCGCGGUGGAACGUCAAUCAAUCCCCGAACAUAUUCAGAGGCUAAGGAACAGCUUUACAACUUAUGCUUGUGUUGGAAAAAGGCUGCAGAAGAAUUGUGAUAAUGAGUCGUGGAUACUUUUUUUGUCAUUCAGCUACGCUUUUGGUUCGCACAGACAAUGCUUCUAGUUUUCUGUGAAGAUAAGGAAAAACAAUGUAUAGACCUGCCUCACAUACGAAAAGCAGAGCCGACAACAUCCACUCGACCUUUUGGCCGAGACGCAGCGGGAACCCGGAGCAGCUGUGGAUGAAAUAUGAGCAUGAUCAUAAGAAACAGAAGUCAUGUACAUCUCUCUCUCUCUCUCUCUCUCAGACGCAGGAGAGGGAGGAUUUGCUUACAAUGACAGUGAGAAAGUAUAAGUCCCAAUGGAGAAAAAUAGCUAUCCCCAAGUAGGUAUAAGUCAGCCUUAUGAGAAAUAAAACUUGUUUUCUAUACUGAAA